rnacentral:rRNA from 1 species
CGGUGUUUAACUGGCGUGAUGUGGGACGUCCUACCGGUGGGCUUAGCCUCGCGAGGGGCGGCCCAACUAAUAUCCCGUCGCGGUGCUCUUUACUGAGUGUCGAGUCGGGCCGGUACGUUUACUUUGAACAAAUUAGAGUGCUUAAAGCAGGCUAUCCUCGCCUGAAUACUGCGUGCAUGGAAUAAUGGAAUAGGACCUCGGUUCUAUUUUGUUGGUUUUCGGAACCCCGAGGUAAUGAUUAACAGGGACAGAUGGGGGCAUUCGUAUUGCGACGUUAGAGGUGAAAUUCUUGGAUCGUCGCAAGACGGACAGAAGCGAAAGCAUUUGCCAAAAAUGUUUUCAUUAAUCAAGAACGAAAGUUAGAGGUUCGAAGGCGAUCAGAUACCGCCCUAGUUCUAACCAUAAACGAUGCCAGCUAGCGAUCCGCCGAAGUUCCUCCGAUGACUCGGCGGGCAGCUUCCGGGAAACCAAAGCUUUUGGGUUCCGGGGGAAGUAUGGUUGCAAAGCUGAAACUUAAAGGAAUUGACGGAAGGGCACCACCAGGAGUGGAGCCUGCGGCUUAAUUUGACUCAACACGGGAAACCUCACCAGGCCCAGACACCGGAAGGAUUGACAGAUUGAUAGCUCUUUCUUGAUUCGGUGGGUGGUGGUGCAUGGCCGUUCUUAGUUGGUGGAGCGAUUUGUCUGGUUAAUUCCGAUAACGAACGAGACUCUAGCCUGCUAAAUAGGCGUACCUUAUGGUAUCGCGAAGGCCCCCGGCUUCGGCCGGUGGGUUUUUACUACCAACGUACAAACAAAUCUUCUUAGAGGGACAGGCGG